GACAGAGGCCUCAAGCGUUAGGCGGAAUCACUGGGCUUAAAGGGUGCGUAGGCGGCGCGGUAAGUCGGGUGUGAAAUCUUGGAGCUUAACUCCGAAACUGCAUUCGAUACUGCCGUGCUUGAGGACUGGAGAGGAGACUGGAAUUUACGGUGUAGCGGUGAAAUGCGUAGAUAUCGUAAGGAAGACCAGUGGCGAAGGCGGGUCUCUGGACAGUUCCUGACGCUGAGGCACGAAGGCCAGGGGAGCAAACGGG
rnacentral:rRNA from 1 species